rnacentral:rRNA from 2 species
CAGCCGCCGCGGUAACACCAGCCCCUCGAGUGGUGGGGAUGAUUAUUUGGCCUAAAGCAUCCGUAGCCGGCUCUGUAAGUUUUCGGUUAAAUCUGUAUGCUCAACAUACAGGCUGCCGGGAAUACUGCAGAGCUAGGGAGUGGGAGAGGUAGACGGUACUCGGUAGGAAGGGGUAAAAUCCUUUGAUCUAUUGAUGACCACCUGUGGCGAAGGCGGUCUACCAGAACACGUCCGACGGUGAGGGAUGAAAGCUGGGGGAGCAAACCGGAUUAGAUACCCGGGUAGUCCCAGCUGUAAACUAUGCAAACUAGGUGUUGGGUUGGCCACGAGCCACCCCAGUGCCGCAGGGAAGCCGUUAAGUAUGCCGCCUGGGAAGUACGAUCGCAAGGUUGAAACUUAAAGGAAUUGGCGGGGGAGCAC